GAUGAAGAACGCAGCGAAAUGCGAUACUUGGUGUGAAUUGCAGAAUCCCGUGAACCAUCGAGUCUUUGAAUGCAAGUUGCGCCCGAAGCCAUUAGGCCGAGGGCACGCCUGCCUGGGUGUCACACGUCGUUGCCCCCCCAUCUACUCCUUCGGGAUUGCGGGGGGCGGAUGAUGGCCUCCCGUGCGCCUCGUCGCGCAGUUGGCAUAAAUGCCAAGUCCUCGGCGACGCACGCCACGACAAUCGGUGGUUGCGAAACCUCGGUUGCCCGUCGUGUGCGGUCGUCGCGCAUCGAGGGCUCGAAAAAAUUGCCGGGCUCCGGCUCGGCUUUCAACGCGACCCCAGGUCAGGCGGGGUUACCCGCUGAAUUUAAGCAUAUCAAUAAGCGGAGGA
rnacentral:misc_RNA from 1 species